rnacentral:rRNA from 1 species
UACGUAGGGGGCAAGCGUUAUCCGGAUUUACUGGGUGUAAAGGGAGCGUAGACGGCAGAGCAAGUCUGAAGUGAAAGCCCGCGGCUCAACUGCGGAACUGCUCUGGAAACUGUGAAGCUGGAGUGCAGGAGAGGUAAGCGGAAUUCCUGGUGUAGCGGUGAAAUGCGUAGAUAUCAGGAGGAACACCGGCGGCGAAGGCGGCUUACUGGACUGUAACUGACGUUGAGGCUCGAAGGCGUGGGGAGCAAACAGG